CAACCCUCCCCUCCACUGACAGCAGUGGUUGUGUUUAUAACGUGAGGAGGGACGCGACGGGGAUGCUUCAGGUUAUCCACACUUACGACUGUAACACUUUCCAACGACUCAUUGACAUAUCUUCGUCUGCUUUUGGGGAAUGCGUAGGUUAUUAGCAGCGGCCAAGUGACGCAGAGAAGAUCCCACCGCCCUGCCAGAGGAGAACAGACUCAGCAGGCAGUCCGAUACGAUCAGGCAGAGGGAGAGAAGAGAAAGCCUGACUAGGAGCGCAAUAGAAAAAGCAGUGGUACAGAACAGAAUGUAGUGACGUCAUCAGAACACGGCCCCGGACAGACAAACAGCCUCCCGGAGAGACACACAGCCCCCAGACAGACACACAGCCCCCAGACAGACACACAGCC
ensembl:lncRNA